GACAGAGGGGGCAAGCGUUGCUCGGAAUCACUGGGCGUAAAGGGCGCGUAGGCGGGAUGCAAGUCGGUCGUGAAAUCCCUGGGCUCAACUCAGGGGGGUCGGCCGAUACUGCCGUUCUUGAGGGAUGCAGAGGAGACUGGAAUUCCCGGUGUAGCGGUGAAAUGUGUAGAGAUCGGGGAGGAACACCGGUGGCGAAGGCGGGUCUCUGGGCAUUCCCUGACGCUGAGGCGCGAAAGCGUGGGGAGCAAACGGG
rnacentral:rRNA from 1 species